UGAAAAGCCACUUGGGUUAGCCUACACAAG
rnacentral:piRNA from 1 species